rnacentral:rRNA from 1 species
GGAAAAGAAAAUAACAAUGAUUCCCUCAGUAACGGCGAGCGANGAGGGAUAAGCUCAAAUUUUAAAUCUGUUGGGUUCCACUUAACAGAGUUGUAUUUUGAAGAAACGUUUUCUGCGUCCAGGAUUAGCCUAAAUCCUUUGGGAUAAGGUAUCAUGGAGGGUGAGAAUCCCGUUCAUGGUUAAUCUUAAGGAAGCUCUACGAUACGUUUUCCAAGAGUCGAGUUGUUUGGGAUUGCAGCUCAAAAUGGGAGGUAAAUUUCUCCUAAGGCUAAAUAUUGGCGAGAGACCGAUAGCGAACAAGUACCGUGAGGGAAAGAUGAAAAGAACUUUGAAAAGAGAGUUAAACAGUACGUGAAAUUGUUGAAAGGGAAACGAUUGAAGUCAGUCAUACCAACGGGAAAUCAACCUUUUGAGCUCGGUCUCGUGGGUUUUGAAGAGUUUCAAAGCCUUCGGAUUCGCGGGAUUGGGAUCUCUNGGUGUACUUUUUCGUACGGUUAGUCAACAUCGGUUUUGAAUGUCAUAAAAUGACUGGAGGAAUGUAGCUUCGAUCUCGUAUUGAAGUGUUAUAGCCUUUGGUAGAUGUGAUGUUUGAGACCGAGGAUUGCAACGGAUACCCUUCAGGGCUAUUCGUCUGAUCUCUGAUACGUUGCCUUGAUGUUGAAAGCUUGCUUAUGAUGUUAGGGUAUUACGGUCAAAAGGUUAGAACGAAUUACAUUCGUUAAGGAUGUUGACGUAAUGACUUUAAACGACCCGUCUUGA